rnacentral:rRNA from 1 species
AUUGAAGAGGGAUUUGAUCAUGAAAGCUCGGAUUGAACGCUGGCGGCAGGCUAACACAUGCAAGUCGAACGGUAGCACAGAGAGCUUGCUCUCGGUAGCAAGUGGCGGACGGGUGGUGUGUCUGGAAACUGCCUGAUGGAGGAUAACUACUGGAAACGGUAGCUAAUACCCGCAUAAUGUCGCAAGACCAAAGGAGACCUUCGGGCACUCUUGCCAUCAGAUGUGCCCAGAUGGGAUUAGCUAGUAGGUGGGGUAACGGCUCACGCAGAGCUCCUAGCUGGUCUGAAGAUGACCAGCCACACUGGAACUUGAAGACACGGUCAAGAACUCCUGCACAGGGAGGCAGCAGUGGGAAUAUUGCACAAUGGGCGCAAGCCUGAUGCAGCCAUGCCGCGUGCUAUGAAGAAGGCCUUCCGGGUUGCUAAAAGAGUACUUUCAGCAGGGAGGAAGGUGUUGUGGUUAAUAACCACAGCAAGUGACGUUACCCGCAGAAGAAACACCAAUAACUCCGUGCCAGCAGCCGCGUAAUACGGUACAAGCGUUAAUCGGAAUUACUGGGCGUAAGCGCACGCAGGUCUGUCAAGUCGGAUGCCAAAAUCCCGGGCUCAACCUAGGAACUGCAUUCGAAACUGGCAGGCUGGAGUCUUGUAGAAGGUAGAAUUCGGUGUAGCGGUGAAAUGCGUGAGAUCUGGGAGGAAUACCGGUGGAAGGCAUUACUGGACAAAGACUGACGCUCAGGUGCGGCGUGGGAGCAAACAGGAUUAGAUGCUACAGUAGUCCACGCCGUAAACGAUGUCGAUUUGGAGAGUUGUGCCCUUGAGGCGUGGCUUCCGGAGCUGCGCGUUAAAUCGACCGCCUGAGGGGAGUACGGCCGCAAAGUUAAAAAACUCAAAUGAAUUGACAGGGGCCCGCACAAGCGGUGGGCAUGGUUUAAUUCGAUGCAACGCGGAAGAACCUUACACAGUCUUGACAUCCACAGAACUUUCCAGAGAUGGAUUGAGUGCCUUCGGGAACUGUGAGACCCAGGUGCUGCAUGGCUGUCGUCAGCUCGUGUUGUGAAAUGUUGGGUUAAGUCCCGCAACAGGCGCAACCCCUUAUCCUUUGUUGCCAGCAGUUGAGGCCGGAACUCAAGAGACUGCCGGUGAUAAACUGGAGGAAGGUGGGGAUGACGUCAAGUCAUCAUGGCCCCGCCGGCCCGGGGGCUACACACGUGCUACAAUGGCGCGCAUGCAAAGGGAAAGCGACCUCGCGAGAGCAAAGCGGACCUCAUAAAGUGCGUCGUAGUCGGAUUAAGUCUGCAACUCGACUCCAUGAAGUCGGAAUCGCUAGUAAUCGUAGAUCAGAAUGCUACGGUGAAUACGUUCCCAGGCCUUGUACACACCGCCCGUCACCAUGGGAGUAGGUUGCAAAGUAAGAGUAGCUUAACCUUCAGGGGAGGGCGCUUACCCUUUGUGAUUCAUGGCUAGGGUGAAGUCACAACAAGGUAAAUAGGGAACCUGCAGUUGGAUCACCUCCCUU